rnacentral:rRNA from 1 species
GGGUAACCUGCCUGUAAGACUGGGAUAACUCCGGGAAACCGGGGCUAAUACCGGAUGCUUGAUUGAACCGCAUGGUUCAAUUAUAAAAGGUGGCUUUUAGCUACCACUUACAGAUGGACCCGCGGCGCAUUAGCUAGUUGGUGAGGUAACGGCUCACCAAGGCAACGAUGCGUAGCCGACCUGAGAGGGUGAUCGGCCACACUGGGACUGAGACACGGCCCAGACUCCUACGGGAGGCAGCAGUAGGGAAUCUUCCGCAAUGGACGAAAGUCUGACGGAGCAACGCCGCGUGAGUGAUGAAGGUUUUCGGAUCGUAAAACUCUGUUGUUAGGGAAGAACAAGUACCGUU